rnacentral:tRNA from 1 species
GGAAGCGUGCCCGAAAUAUAAGGAUUACUUUGAUAGAGUAGAUAUGGAGUUAACUACUCCCACUUCC